rnacentral:rRNA from 1 species
ACGUUCGGUUCGGAUAAGCGCUGAAAGCAUCUAAGCACGAAGCCGACCUCAAGAUAAGCCUUCGUUAUGAGACCCCUCGGAGAUGACGAGGUUGAUAGGCCGCAGGUAGAAGUCCGGUAACGGAUGAAGCCGAGCGGUACUAAUAGGUCCAGCUCUAUAACCAC